UCUCCAAUUUUCAAAUAUGGUUAUCUCGGUGAAGAAGUGUUUUUCAGCACUGCCGAGGGACAUGGAAGUGAGUUACCUUAAUUCGAGAUAUUGGAUUGAGAAGUGGCUUAUACAGGAAAGUGAUUUCUGGUAUGGAGACAGAAACUGUCAACAAAAUCAUGUGGCGUACCAUUAUAAAGAAGCCAAUAGCAGAAUCCUUGUGGCUGGCGAAUAAUAGACGCUUGCGGUGCAAGAAUAACCCGAUGGGUGUAUGCGGUGUGAGAGACCACUCACUAUAUUCGGGAAAUCUCAUAAAGCCGGUUUGCCUUGAAUCCGGGAAUUGAAAACCGGAGUAUAACACAAGAAAUUCGUUAAAGUAGCGGUAUGGCAUUACGAUCGAUAAAGAAAUCAAUGCAUGGUUGAUGUUUUCUUCUGAAAGAACCGUGAAAUUUACAGGUAUCAAUCCCGUGUGUGCUUGUCAGCGGUAAGAAGCCAAGGGUCGCACCCAAACGCUCAGACUUAUCGUCACACUGGCAGAAUAUGGCUGUAUUUAUAAUGGAUAAGACGAAGGUCUAACCAUAUUUGAAACAAUAA
rnacentral:sRNA from 12 species